rnacentral:pre_miRNA from 7 species
UUUCAGGGUUCCUAGGUGUCAUGCAAAUCUCGUUGGGGCCUCCAAAUGAAAGAACCUAGUGGGGAAACCCCCACUCAAUUCCCGAUUUGGCGUGCACCCAAGAAUCACGAACAGACAA